AUUGAACGCUGGCGGCAGGCUUAACACAUGCAAGUCGAGCGGAAACGAUGGUAGCUUGCUACCAGGCGUCGAGCGGCGGACGGGUGAGUAAUACUUAGGAAUCUACCUAGUAGUGGGGGAUAGCUCGGGGAAACUCGAAUUAAUACCGCAUACGACCUACGGGAGAAAGGGGGCAGUUUACUGCUCUCGCUAUUAGAUGAGCCCAAGUCGGAUUAGCUAGAUGGUGGGGUAAAGGCCUACCAUGGCGACGAUCUGUAGCUGGUCUGAGAGGAUGAUCAGCCACACCGGGACUGAGACACGGCCCGGACUCCUACGGGAGGCAGCAGUGGGGAAUAUUGGACAAUGGGGGAAACCCUGAUCCAGCCAUGCCGCGUGUGUGAAGAAGGCCUUUUGGUUGUAAAGCACUUUAAGCAGUGAAGAAGACUCCGUGGUUAAUACCCACGGACGAUGACAUUAGCUGCAGAAUAAGCACCGGCUAACUCUGUGCCAGCAGCCGCGGUAAUACAGAGGGUGCAAGCGUUAAUCGGAAUUACUGGGCGUAAAGGGAGCGUAGGUGGCUCUAUAAGUCAGAUGUGAAAUCCCCGGGCUUAACCUGGGAACUGCAUCUGAAACUGUAGAGCUAGAGUAUGUGAGAGGAAGGUAGAAUUCCAGGUGUAGCGGUGAAAUGCGUAGAGAUCUGGAGGAAUACCGAUGGCGAAGGCAGCCUUCUGGCAUAAUACUGACACUGAGGCUCGAAAGCGUGGGUAGCAAACAGG
rnacentral:rRNA from 1 species